GACGAACGCUGGCGGCGUGCUUAACACAUGCAAGUCGAACGGAAAGGCCCUGCUUUUGUGGGGUGCUCGAGUGGCGAACGGGUGAGUAACACGUGAGUAACCUGCCCUUGACUUUGGGAUAACUUCAGGAAACUGGGGCUAAUACCGGAUAGGAGCUCCUGCUGCAUGGUGGGGGUUGGAAAGUUUCGGCGGUUGGGGAUGGACUCGCGGCUUAUCAGCUUGUUGGUGGGGUAGUGGCUUACCAAGGCUUUGACGGGUAGCCGGCCUGAGAGGGUGACCGGCCACAUGGGCAAUGAGAUACGGCCCAGACUCAUACGGGAGGCAGCAGUGGGGAAUAUUGAACAAUGGGCGGAAGAAUGAUGCAGCAACGCAGGGUGCGGGAUGACGGCAUUCGGGUUGUAAACCGCUUUCGCCUGUGACGAAGCGUGAGUGACGGUACUGGGUAAAGAAGCACCGGCUAACUACGU
rnacentral:rRNA from 1 species